AUUGAACGCUGGCGGCAUGCUUUACACAUGCAAGUCGAACGGUAACAGGCCGCAAGGUGCUGACGAGUGGCGAACGGGUGAGUAAUGCAUCGGAACGUGCCCAGUCGUGGGGGAUAACGCAGCGAAAGCUGUGCUAAUACCGCAUACGCUCUAUGGAUGAAAGCGGGGGACCGUAAGGCCUCGCGCGAUUGGAGCGGCCGAUGGCAGAUUAGGUAGUUGGUGGGGUAAAGGCCUACCAAGCCGACGAUCUGUAGCUGGUCUGAGAGGACGACCAGCCACACUGGGACUGAGACACGGCCCAGACUCCUACGGGAGGCAGCAGUGGGGAAUUUUGGACAAUGGGCGCAAGCCUGAUCCAGCAAUGCCGCGUGCAGGAAGAAGGCCUUCGGGUUGUAAACUGCUUUUGUACGGAACGAAACGGUCUGGGUUAAUACCCCGGGCUAAUGACGGUACCGUAAGAAUAAGCACCGGCUAACUCUGUGCCAGCCGCCGCCGUAAAAC
rnacentral:rRNA from 1 species